rnacentral:rRNA from 1 species
CCUACGGGAGGCAGCAGUGAGGAAUAUUGGUCAAUGGGCGCUAGCCUGAACCAGCCAAGUCGCGUGAGGGAAGACGGUCCUAUGGAUUGUAAACCUCUUUUGUCGGGGAGCAAAAGACGCCACGCAUGCCGUUCCGAGAGUACCCGAAGAACAAGCAUCGGCUAACUCCGUGCCAGCAGCCGCGGUAAUAUGGAGGAUGCGAGCGUUAUCCGGAUUUAUUGGGUUUAAAGGGUGCGCAGGCGGAAGAUUAAGUCAGCGGUAAAAUUGAGAGGCUCAACCUCUUCGAGCCGUUGAAACUGGUUUGCUUGAGUGAGCGAGAAGUAUGCGGAAUGCGUGGUGUAGCGGUGAAAUGCAUAGAUAUCACGCAGAACUCCGAUUGCGAAGGCAGCAUACCGGCGCUCAACUGACGCUCAUGCACGAAAGUGUGGGUAUCGAACAGGAUUAGAUACCCGAGUAGUC